UACAGAGGUCUCAAGCGUUGUUCGGAUUCAUUGGGCGUAAAGGGUGCGUAGGUGGCGGGGUAAGUCGGAUGUGAAAUCCCGGGGCUCAACCUCGGAACUGCAUUCGAUACUGCUUUGCUUGAGUACUGGAGAGGAGAUUGGAAUUUACGGUGUAGCAGUGAAAUGCGUAGAUAUCGUAAGGAAGACCAGUGGCGAAGGCGGAUCUCUGGACAGUUACUGACACUGAGGCACGAAGGCCAGGGGAGCAAACGGG
rnacentral:rRNA from 1 species